rnacentral:rRNA from 1 species
GACAGCAGCCGCCACGGUAAUACGUAGGUGGCAAGCGUUGUCCGGAUUUAUUGGGCGUAAAGCGAGCGCGGGCGGUCAAUUAAGUCUGAUGUGAAAGCCCCCGGCUCAACCGGGGAGGGUCAUUGGAAACUGGUUGACUUGAGUGCAGAAGAGGAGAGUGGAAUUCCAUGUGUAGCGGUGAGAUGCGUAGAUAUAUGGAGGAACACCAGUGGCGAAGGCGACUCUCUGGUCUGUAACUGACGCUGAGGCUCGAAAGCGUGGGUAGCAAACAGGAUUAGAUACCCCGGUAGUCCCUGUCUCUUAUAC